UGCCCAGCAACUCCUAUCCCUACCUCCUCAUGGUACCGGCCAGAAACUACGAGCAACCUUAAGGAAGAUCGGGUAACCAUCUCCGGUGGGAACUUUGGUCGUUGGCUGACAAGAAAGGGAAGG
rfam:Aedes albopictus isolate Foshan contig54329, whole genome shotgun sequence.